GUGCACGCUGGCGGUAGGCCUAACACCUGCCAGUCGAACGGCAGCACCGUAAGAGCUUGCUCUUACGGGUGGCGAGUGGCGGACGGGUGAGGAAUACAUCGGAAUCUACUUUUUCGUGGGGGAUAACGUAGGGAAACUUACGCUAAUACCGCAUACGACCUACGGGUGAAAGCAGGGGAUCUUCGGACCUUGCGCGAUUGAAUGAGCCGAUGUCGGAUUAGCUAGUUGGCGGGGUAAAGGCCCACCAAGGCGACGAUCCGUAGCUGGUCUGAGAGGAUGAUCAGCCACACUGGAACUGAGACACGGUCCAGACUCCUACGGGAGGCAGCAGUGGGGAAUAUUGGACAAUGGGCGCAAGCCUGAUCCAGCCAUACCGCGUGGGUGAAGAAGGCCUUCGGGUUGUAAAGCCCUUUUGUUGGGAAAGAAAAGCAGCAGGUUAAUACCCCGCUGUUCUGACGGUACCCAAAGAAUAAGCACCGGCUAACUUCGUG
rnacentral:rRNA from 1 species